UGGGGGAUAUUGCACAAUGGGGGAAACCCUGAUGCAGCGACGCCGCGUGAGUGAAGAAGUAUUUCGGUAUGUAAAGCUCUAUCAGCAGGGAAGAAAGGGGGCGCAAGUCCCUGAGACGGUACCUGACUAAGAAGCCCCGGCUAACUACGUGCCAGCAGCCGCGGUAAUACGUAGGGGGCAAGCGUUAUCCGGAUUUACUGGGUGUAAAGGGAGCGCAGACGGCAUAGCAAGUCUGGAGUGAAAGCCCGCGGCUCAACCGCGGGACUGCUCUGGAAACUGUUAAGCUGGAGUGCAGGAGAGGCAGGUGGAAUUCCUGGUGUAGCGGUGAAAUGCGUAGAUAUCAGGAGGAACACCAGUGGCGAAGGCGGCCUGCUGGACUGUAACUGACGUUGAGGCUCGAAAGCGUGGGGAGCAAACAGG
rnacentral:rRNA from 1 species